rnacentral:rRNA from 1 species
CAGCCGUAAACUAUGCGCGUUAGGUGUAUCGGUGACCACGAGUUACCGAGGUGCCGAAGGGAAACCGUGAAACGUGCCGCCUGGGAAGUACGGUCGCAAGGCUGAAACUUAAAGGAAUUGGCGGGGAGCACCACAACGGGUGGAGCCUGCGGUUUAAUUGGACUCAACGCCGGGAAGCUCACCGGAUAAGACAGCGGAAUGAUUGCCGGGCUGAAGACUCUGCAUGACUAGCUGAGAGGAGGUGCAUGGCGUAGACGUCU